UACUCGAGUGGCGAACGGGUGAGUAACACGUGGGUGAUCUGCCCUGCACUUCGGGAUAAGCCUGGGAAACUGGGUCUAAUACCGGAUAGGACGAUGGUUUGGAUGCCAUUGUGGAAAGUUUUUUCGGUGUGGGAUGAGCUCGCGGCCUAUCAGCUUGUUGGUGGGGUAAUGGCCUACCAAGGCGUCGACGGGUAGCCGGCCUGGGAGGGUGUACGGCCACAUUGGGACUGAGAUACGGCCCAG
rnacentral:rRNA from 1 species